AAUUGGUAAAUGAAAUAUUUUCUUGUGCUUCUGGUUCCUGCGGCUGGACUUUGCGACUUGCGAGACUGCGACGACUGACGAGCUGUUCGACUGGCGGCGGCGAGGCGACUAGCGAUCGGCGAGAGGAAGUGAAAGCGUGAAUAUAUUGUGUAUCCUCCCGAAGCACCCCGGCCUCCAUCACCGGAGGAAUUGAGAGAGAUGGCGCGAGAAGUGGCUCGCAAGAGAGAGAGGGAGAGAAACCUCAAAAACUGAA